rnacentral:rRNA from 1 species
GACGUAGGGCGCGAGCGUUGUCCGGAUUUAUUGGGCGUAAAGAGCUCGUAGGCGGCUUGUCGCGUCGAAUGUGAAAUCUCAGGGCUCAACUCUGACAUUGCAUUCGAUACGGGCAGGCUAGAGUUCGGUAGGGGAGACUGGAAUUCCUGGUGUAGCGGUGAAAUGCGCAGAUAUCUGGAGGAACACCGGUGGCGAAGGCGGCAUCCUGGACCGACAUUGACGCUGAGGCGCGAAAGCCAGGGGAGCAAACGGG